GUGGUCACUUCAGCAGCACAUAUACUAGAAUUGGAACGAUACAGAGAAGAUUAGUAUGGUUCCUGCACAAGGAUGACACACAAAUUUAUAAACUGUUCCAUAUUUUC